AGCCUGGAGCCGGAGCGCUGGCUCCGCGCGGCCUGGAGAGGCGGAGAGGCCUGUCCACCGCCCCCUCUGCCGCCCACGCCCCGCUGCGGGUCGGAGGAGCAGCUCCCGCUCGCAGGUGCUCGGAGAGGCCGGGCCGCGGCUCCCACAGGUGCCGGGAAGCGGCCGCGCGCAUGCGCCGGAGCCCACCCGCCUGGCUGCGCGUCCCGGGCCCGGCGGCUGAAGAGGAGCCGCGGCGAGGUAGCAACCUUGGCAGUGGGAGCCCAGCAGGUCCCGUCUUUGUCCCUGUGCUGAUACAGAGAGACUCUCCGUGCUGUGGACGCCUCCAUCUGGGCACAUGUUUCAGUUGUUUUCUAAAUACCAAGAGCACAGAUUGCUCAGUAAUAAUAGCUCUCCUGCAAAUCUGGAAUCACUUAGGCAGCUGCAGUGCCUCUAAGCCUCCUUGCAUCCAAGGCUGUGAUCAAGGAGGACUGGUGUCUGAGUGGGCUUGAGAAGGGCCCGGAGAACAGCGGGUUUCCUGAUCACAAAUCAGCCUGUCAUUCAGCAUGUGUUCCCUUGGUGACUCAGGGCGAUAUCUGCCCUUCUCCGGAGGUCAAGGGCUCAUCGUGUCAAUUGUGGUCUUGAGUUUGUUUUUUUUUUCCUCUUGAAAUCAUUGUAAUUAAGCUAAAAGUAUAGUGUUGGUAUCCAGCACAUGUUUGCAAAGUAUUUAACAAUGAGCAAAAACUUUAAGAAUAAAUUAAAGCAUCUAGUUUACUUUUUGCCAACAGCCAGGUUCCUGCUAGAAAUGAUUUUGAAAUAAAUGUUGUCUUGGAAAUAGAAACCGU
rnacentral:lncRNA from 1 species